rnacentral:rRNA from 1 species
UACAGAGGUCUCAAGCGUUGUUCGGAUUCAUUGGGCGUAAAGGGUGCGUAGGUGGUGAUGCAAGUCUGGUGUGAAAUCUCGGAGCUCAACUCCGAAACUGCACCGGAUACUGCGUGACUCGAGGACUGUAGAGGAGAUCGGAAUUCACGGUGUAGCAGUGAAAUGCGUAGAUAUCGUGAGGAAGACCAGUUGCGAAGGCGGAUCUCUGGGCAGUUCCUGACACUGAGGCACGAAGGCCAGGGGAGCAAACGGG